UCUUUUAAUGUCACGCUGAAG
ensembl:piRNA 21ur-14931 ncRNA